UGCAGUCGAACGAAGUAGCAAUACUUAGUGGCAGACGGGUGAGUAACAUGUGGGUAUCUACCCUAUGGCCUGGAAUAACACGAGGAAACUUGUGCUAAUACUGGAUAAGUCUUUACGGAGAAAGCUUUAUGCACCAUUGGAUGAGCCCGCACUUGAUUAGUUUGUUGGUAGGGUAAUGGCCUACCAAGACUUUGAUCAAUAGCUGAUUUGAGAGGAUGAUCAGCCACAUUGGGACUGAGACACGGCCCAAACUCCUACGGGAGGCAGCAGUGGGGAAUCUUGCACAAUGGAGGAAACUCUGAUGCAGCGAUGCCGCGUGAGUGAAGAAGGCCUUUGGGUUGUAAAGCUCUUUCGUCGGGGAAGAAAAUGACUGUACCCGAAUAAGAAGGUCCGGCUAACUUCGUGCCAGCAGCCGCGGUAAUACGAAGGGACCUAGCGUAGUUCGGAAUUACUGGGCUUAAAGAGUUCGUAGGUGGUUGAAAAAGUUGGUGGUGAAAUCCCAGAGCUUAACUCUGGAACUGCCAUCAAAACUUUUCAGCUAGAGUUUGAUAGAGGAAAGCAGAAUUUCUAGUGUAGAGGUGAAAUUCGUAGAUAUUAGAAAGAAUACCAAUUGCGAAGGCAGCUUUCUGGAUCAUUACUGACACUGAGGAACGAAAGCAUGGGUAGCGAAGAGGAUUAGAUACCCUCGUAGUCCAUGCCGUAAACGAUGUGUGUUAGACGUUGGAAAUUUAUUUUCAGUGUCGCAGCGAAAGCAAUAAACACACCGCCUGGGGAGUACGACCGCAAGGUUAAAACUCAAAUGAAUUGACGGGGGCCCGCACAAGUAGUGGAGCAUGUGGUUUAAUUCGAAGAUACGCGCAGAACCUUACCAACACUUGACAUGUUCGUCGCGACUUUAAGAGAUUAAAGUUUUCGGUUCGGCCGGACGAAACACAGG
rnacentral:rRNA from 1 species